GAUGAAGAACGUAGUGAAAUGCGAUAAGUAAUGUGAAUUGCAGAAUUCAGUGAAUCAUCGAAUCUUUGAACGCACAUUGCGCCCCUUGGUAUUCCGGGGGGCAUGCCUGUUCGAGCGUCAUUACAACCCUCAAGCUCUGCUUGGUCUUGGGCGUCACCGGUCCCCGGUGUGCCUUAAAAUCAGUGGCGGCGCCAUCUGGCUCUAAGCGUAGUACAUACUCUCGCUACAGACGUCCGGUGGAUGCUGGCCAGCAACCCCCAAUUUAUCAAGGUUGACCUCGGAUCAGGUAGGGAUACCCGCUGAACUUAAGCAUAUCAAUAAGCGGAGGA
rnacentral:misc_RNA from 1 species